GACGAACGCUGGCGGCGUGCUUAACACAUGCAAGUCGAACGGUGAAGCGCCUUCCUUUUUGGUGGGUGUGGAUGAGUGGCGAACGGGUGAGUAACACGUGAGUAACCUGCCCCCUUCUUCUGGAUAACCGCAUGAAAGUGUGGCUAAUACGGGAUAUUCUGGGUCUGUCGCAUGAUGGGUCUGGGAAAGAUAUUGUUUCGGUGGGGGUUGGGCUCGCGGCCUAUCAGCUUGUUGGUGGGGUGAUGGCCUACCAAGGCGGUGACGGGUAGCCGGCCUGAGAGGGUGGACGGUCACACUGGGACUGAGACACGGCCCAGACUCCUACGGGAGGCAGCAGUGGGGAAUAUUGCACAGUGGGCGCAAGCCUGAUGCAGCGACGCCGCGUGAGGGAUGGAGGCCUUCGGGUUGUGAACCUCUUUCGCCAGUGAAGCAGGCCUGCCUCGUUUGUGGGUGGGUUGACGGUAGCUGGAUAAGAGGCGCCGGCUAACUACGUG
rnacentral:rRNA from 1 species